UUCAUUUUAACGGACUAUGAAUACCAGCUUAUAACAUAUUCGCAUCAAUUCUAAACUCUUUUUAGACAAAAUUAGAAGCUAUUUUUGACCGAAUUUAACUAUCAAAGGAUCAUUCUGUUUUAAAAAUAGUUUGCUCCUUUUUUGGUUUCGCUGGCAUCACUCCGGUUAACACUCUGUAAGUGUUCAAGUUCCAAGUGGAGCUCGGUGACGGCAUUUGGAAGUCAAUUGGACUGACCAAACCAUAUUUCCGGCUUGAACGGACAAAGAGUGUUAGCAGCAUCCAAGAAUAAUUUACUGGUCUCAUUGGCUAAAGCUGAUAUUAAG